GGUCAGGUAGUGUAAUGGUUAACAUCUGCUAUAUAUACAGAAGCCCUGGGUUCAAUCCCAGUCUGGCCA